UCCACUUCCGGCCAGGCUGAGGAACUGUCGGUCGCUGAAGAAGGCCGGACUGUGCUGUGGCGUCCACCGAGGCCGAAUCUGGGGACUCCUGGUUGGUGGGCCCUGUCCCCGCCCCCGGAGCGGCUGACGGUCGGGAGAGGUUCGGCGCCCCUUGUCCCUGCAGCAAGGCUCCCAACGGUGCCUUCCGAGUCGGUAUCUUUUGUGUUGUGUCAGAUGAAUGUAGCCCAGAAUGUCUCCAUGGAACCAACAGUGUUUGUAGCCUGGCCAGGCUUGUUGACCGAUGGCUUUUCCCCCCAACACUCCCGAUUUUACAUGGGUUUCAAACAGCUCUUAAACAUGGAAGCCGUCGGGUCCUUCCAUUCUCUUCUACGCGACUUAGGGAAGGUCCCUUGCAGGGAGAGGACCCCAGCGGACGGGAGAGGCUGCGCCUUAAGGAGACAGAAGCGCCCGCCCUCCGGUGAGACGGAGACGAGGCCGCAGUCCCCAGCACAGUGGCUGUGACUUGUCUGCAUCUUUGUGUGGUCAUGACGCACCAGCUGGGAGCUGGCGACCCAGAGGAGCCCAACUAAUGCUCGUGCUCAGACUGGCUCAGUUGCACAGUGAAGAAUCAUGGCUUCACCUGAGUAGAGUUUGGAAGAACUCCUUGGACUGCUGAAGAGAUGAGACUUGUCUGCGUAUGGUACCUACUGUGCACUGGUCCUGUGGGAGAUUCAGAGCUGAAGAAAUCUCAGUCUCAAGUGGAAGAGGACUAGAACAACAGAAAUUCAGACAGGCAGAGGAUCCGAGUCACUCAUCCCAGAUCAGGAAGUCAGUCCAGGAUCCAGGGGCUCCAGAAUGCAGGACAACAGUGCCACAACAAGGCUAAGCUGAGACUCUAGCCUCUCUGCAGCCCGCCUUUAGCCUAGACUCUUCCUCACUGUGUGCUUCCUCACUGCCAGGCCCCAAGCCAAAGGACACAAGCCCAAAGGUGGGCUGUUGUGAAAGCCGAGGACCCUGCAGAAGCCACACUGGGGUCAGAAUCAAUGGCACUACCUUGGGCAGGGAAACAGCAGAAGGCUAUUUUUGAAGCCAUAAAUGCUCAGGGCAUCCUGUGUUGCAAUUAAUAAAUACCAUUGUUGAUAGA